AGUAACACGUAAACAACCUGCCUUCAGGAUGGGGACAACAGACGGAAACGACUGCUAAUACCGAAUAAGUUCCAAGAGCCGCAUGGCCCAUGGAAGAAAAGGUGGCCUCUACCUGUAAGCUAUCGCCUGAAGAGGGGUUUGCGUCUGAUUAGCUGGUUGGAGGGGUAACGGCCCACCAAGGCGACGAUCAGUAGCCGGUCUGAGAGGGUGACCGGCCACAUUGGGACUGAGACACGGCCCAAACUCCUACGGGAGGCAGCAUG
rnacentral:rRNA from 1 species